GACCUCAAAUCAGGUAGGACUACCCGCUGAACUUAAGCAUAUCAAUAAGCGGAGGAAAAGAAACUAACAAGGAUUCCCCUAGUAACUGCGAGUGAAGCGGGAAAAGCUCAAAUCUAAAAUCUGGCGGUCCCUGUGGCCGUCCGAGUUGUAAUUUAGAGAAGUGUUAUCCGCGCUGGACCGUGUACAAGUCUCCUGGAAUGGAGCGUCAUAGAGGGUGAGAAUCCCGUCUUUGACACGGACUGCCAGGGCAUUGCGAUACGCUCUCAAAGAGUCGAGUUGUUUGGGAAUGCAGCUCAAAAUGGGUGGUAAAUUCCAUCUAAAGCUAAAUAUUGGGGAGAGACCGAUAGCGAACAAGUACCGUGAGGGAAAGAUGAAAAGAACUUUGGAAAGAGAGUUAAACAGUACGUGAAAUUGCUGAAAGGGAAACGCUUGAAGUCAG
rnacentral:rRNA from 1 species